UACGAAGGGGGCUAGCGUUGCUCGGAAUCACUGGGCGCAAAGCGCACGUAGGCGGAUUGUUAAGUCAGGGGUGAAAUCCUGGAGCUCAACUCCAGAACUGCCUUUGAUACUGGCGAUCUCGAGUCCGGGAGAGGUGAGUGGAACUGCGAGUGUAGAGGUGAAAUUCGUAGAUAUUCGCAAGAACACCAGUGGCGAAGGCGGCUCACUGGCCCGGUACUGACGCUGAGGUGCGAAAGCGUGGGGAGCAAACAGG
rnacentral:rRNA from 1 species